UAAGCCAUGCAUGUCUAAGUUCAAAUGGCCUUUAAAGGUGAAACCGCGAACGGCUCAUUAUAACAGCUAUUAUAUACUUGAUUUUGAUGUCCUACGUGGAUAACUGUGGUAAUUCUAGAGCUAAUACAUGCACCAAAGCUCCGAUUUUCUGACGAGCGCAUCUAUUAGAUUAAAACCAAUCGGGUUUCGGCCCGUAAAUUGGUGACUCUGAAUAACUGUAGCUGAUCGCAUGGUCCAGAACCGGCGACGUGUCUAUCAAGU
rnacentral:rRNA from 1 species